rnacentral:rRNA from 1 species
UACGUAGGGACCAAGCGUUGUCCGGAAUCAUUGGGCGUAAAGAGCGUGUAGGCGGCUUGUUAAGUCUUGCGUGAAAUCUCGGGGCUCAACCCCGAGCGGUCGUGAGAAACUGGCAGGCUAGAGUGCGGGAGAGGAGAGUGGAAUUCCUGGUGUAGCGGUGAAAUGCGCAGAUAUCAGGAGGAACACCGAUGGCGAAGGCAGCUCGCUGGGACGUGACUGACGCUGAGACGCGAAAGCGUGGGGAGCAAACAGG